rnacentral:rRNA from 1 species
UUAUACCGCGAAACUGCGAAUGGCUCAUUAAAUCAGUUAUCGUUUAUUUGAUAGCACCUUACUACUUGGAUAACCGUGGUAAUUCUAGAGCUAAUACAUGCUGAAAAUCCCGACUUCGGAAGGGAUGUAUUUAUUAGAUUAAAAACCAAUGCCCUCCGGGGCUCACUGGUGAUUCAUGAUAACUUCUCGAAUCGCAUGGCCUUGCGCCGGCGAUGGUUCAUUCAAAUUUCUGCCCUAUCAACUUUCGACUGCUGGGUCUUGGCCAGCAAUGGUGACAACGGGUAACGGAGGGUUAGGGCUCGACCCCGGAGAAGGAGCCUGAGAAACGUGAGUUAUAUAUUUUCCUACAAGACAGCAAGAGAUUUUACAGUCGACAACAAAGCUAACAUUCCUACUCAUAGGGCUACUACAUCCAAGGAAGGCAGCAGGCGCGCAAAUUACCCAAUCCCGACACGGGGAGGUAGUGACAAUAAAUACUGAUACAGGGCUCUUUUGGGUCUUGUAAUUGGAAUGAGUACAAUUUAAAUCCCUUAACGAGGAACAAUUGGAGGGCAAGUCUGGUGAAAAAUUGCUGGCGCCGGAAAUAGUAAGCCCGUUGAAAUUACUAGUCGAGCAUUCGCCAUUGGCGGGAGAAUGCCGGCGAGACAACCCGGGCCGGGGGAGGUUACGGAGCUCUAGCUCUAUGCCAACCCCGGGCAGAGCCGACGGUCUAGGUGAUCUCGGCCUGUUUAGAGCGCGGAAGGGUGUCGGUCCUGUAUACACAUUUUGGGCGUGCAAGCGUCCCGAUGUCAGGGCUUAAGGGACGUGCCAACCCCCUGCGAAAGCGGGGCAUUGCCUCAAAGUGCCCGCCGCACGAUGAGACGAUGGGAUAUAUCUCUCCCCGUGAGAGAACCGUACUACAAAAAUGGCCAGCAGCCGCGGUAAUUCCAGCUCCAAUAGCGUAUAUUAAAGUUGUUGCAGUUAAAAAGCUCGUAGUUGAACCUUGGGCCUGGCCGGCCGGUCCGCCUCACCGCGUGCACUGGUUCGGCCGGGCCUUUUCCUCUGGCGAGCCCCAUGCCCUUUACUGGGCGUGCGGGGGAACCAGGACUUUUACUUUGAAAAAAUUAGAGUGUUCAAAGCAGGCCUAUGCUCGAAUACAUUAGCAUGGAAUAAUAGAAUAGGACGUGCGGUUCUAUUUUGUUGGUUUCUAGGACCGCCGUAAUGAUUAAUAGGGACAGUCGGGGGCAUCAGUAUUCAAUUGUCAGAGGUGAAAUUCUUGGAUUUAUUGAAGACUAACUACUGCGAAAGCAUUUGCCAAGGAUGUUUUCAUUAAUCAGGAACGAAAGUUAGGGGAUCGAAGACGAUCAGAUACCGUCGUAGUCUUAACCAUAAACUAUGCCGACUAGGGAUCGGACGAUGUUAUUUUUUGACUCGUUCGGCACCUUACACGAAAGUACAAG